rnacentral:rRNA from 1 species
CCUACGGGCGGCAGCAGUGGGGAAUAUUGGUCAAUGGACGAGAGUCUGAACCAGCCACGUAGCGUGAAGGAUGACUGCCCUAUGGGUUGUAAACUUCUUUUAUAUGGGAAUAAAAUGUUCCACGUGUGGGAUUUUGUAUGUACCAUAUGAAUAAGGCUCGGCUAACUCCGUGCCAGCAGCCGCGGUAAUACGGAGGAUCCGAGCGUUAUCCGGAUUUAUUGGGUUUAAAGGGAGCGUAGGUGGAUUGUUAAGUCAGUUGUGAAAGUUUGCGGCUCAACCGUAAAAUUGCAGUUGAAACUGGCAGUCUUGAGUACAGGAGAGGUGGGCGGAAUUCGUGGUGUAGCGGUGAAAUGCUUAGAUAUCACGAAGAACUCCGAUUGCGAAGGCAGUUCACUGGACUGCAACUGACACUGAGGCUCGAAAGUGUGGGUAUCAAACAGGAUUAGAUACCCCUGUAGUC